GGUUAAGCGAACAAGCGUACACGGUGGAUGCCCUGGCAGUCAGAGGCGAUGAAGGACGUGCUAAUCUGCGAAAAGCGCCGGUAAGGUGAUAUGAACCGUUAUAACCGGCGAUGUCCGAAUGGGGAAACCCGGUGCACUUCGGUGCAUCAUCGUUAGCUGAAUACAUAGGCUAACGAGGCGAACCGGGGGAACUGAAACAUCUAAGUACCCCGAGGAAAAGAAAUCAACCGAGAUUCCCCCAGUAGCGGCGAGCGAACGGGGAACAGCCCAGAGCCUGAAUCAGCUUGUGUGUCAGUGGAACGGUCUGGAAAGGCCGGCGAUACAGGGUGACAGCCCCGUACACGAAGGCACACAGGCUGUGAGCUCGAUGAGUAGGGCGGGACACGUGAUAUCCUGUCUGAAGAUGGGGGGACCAUCCUCCAAGGCUAAAUACUCCUGACU
rnacentral:rRNA from 1 species